rnacentral:rRNA from 1 species
AGUGAACGCUGGCGGUAGACCUAACACAUGCAAGUCGAACGGCAGCACAGUAAGAGCUUGCUCUUACGGGUGGCGAGUGGCGGACGGGUGAGGAAUACAUCGGAAUCUACUUUUUCGUGGGGGAUAACGUAGGGAAACUUACGCUAAUACCGCAUACGACCUACGGGUGAAAGCAGGGGAUCUUCUGACCUUGCGCGAUUGAAUGAGCCGAUGUCGGAUUAGCUAGUUGGCGGGGUAAAGGCCCACCAAGGCGACGAUCCGUAGCUGGUCUGAGAGGAUGAUCAGCCACACUGGAACUGAGACACGGUCCAGACUCCUACGGUAGGCAGCAGUGGGGAAUAUUGGACAAUGGGCGCAAGCCUGAUCCAGCCAUACCGCGUGGGUGAAGAAGGCCUUCGGGUUGUAAAGCCCUUUUGUUGGGAAAGAAAAGCAGCAGGUUAAUACCCCGCUGUUCUGACGGUACCCAAAGAAUAAGCACCGGCUAACUUCGUG